CCUACGGGUGGCUGCAGUGAGGAAUAUUGGUCAAUGGGCGCGAGCCUGAACCAGCCAAGUCGCGUGAGGGAUGACGGUCCUACGGAUUGUAAACCUCUUUUGCCGGGGAGCAAGCGUGCGUUCGUGAACGCACGUCGAGAGUACCCGGAGAAAAAGCAUCGGCUAACUCCGUGCCAGCAGCCGCGGUAAUACGGAGGAUGCGAGCGUUAUCCGGAUUUAUUGGGUUUAAAGGGUGCGUAGGCGGGCUUUUAAGUCAGCGGUAAAAAUUCGGGGCUCAACCCCGUCCGGCCGUUGAAACUGGGGGCCUUGAGUGGGCGAGAGGAAGGCGGAAUGCGUGGUGUAGCGGUGAAAUGCAUAGAUAUCACGCAGAACCCCGAUUGCGAAGGCAGCCUUCCGGCGCCCUACUGACGCUGAGGCACGAAAGUGCGGGGAUCGAACAGGAUUAGAUACCCCAGUAGUC
rnacentral:rRNA from 1 species